rnacentral:rRNA from 1 species
CAGAGGUCCCGAGCGUUGUUCGGAUUCACUGGGCGUAAAGGGUGCGUAGGUGGUGAGGUAAGUCGGAUGUGAAAUCUCCGGGCUUAACCCGGAAAUGGCAUUGGAAACUACCUUGCUUGAGGAUUUGAGGGGGGAUUGGAAUACUUGGUGUAGCAGUGAAAUGCGUAGAUAUCAAGUGGAACACCAGUGGCGAAGGCGAAUCCCUGGAAAAUACCUGACACUGAGGCACGAAAGCUAGGGGAGCAAACAGGAUUAGAUACCCUGGUAGUCCUAGCCCUAAACGGUGCUUGCUUGCUGCAAGAGGAAUCGACCCCUCUUGUGGCGGAGCUAACGCGUUAAGCAAGCCGCCUGGGAAGUACGGUCGCAAGAUUA